rnacentral:rRNA from 1 species
AUUGAACGCUGGCGGAAUGCUUUACACAUGCAAGUCGAACGGCAGCACGGACUUCGGUCUGGUGGCGAGUGGCGAACGGGUGAGUAACAUAUCGGAACGUAUCCAAUAAUGGGGGAUAACUAAUCGAAAGGUUGGCUAAUACCGCAUACGCCCUACGGGGGAAAGCUAGGGACCUUCGGGCCUGGCGUUAAUGGAGCGGCCGAUAUCUGAUUAGCUAGUUGGUGAGGUAAAGGCUCACCAAGGCGACGAUCAGUAGCUGGUCUGAGAGGACGACCAGCCACACUGGAACUGAGACACGGUCCAGACUCCUACGGGAGGCAGCAGUGGGGAAUUUUCCGCAAUGGGCGAAAGCCUGACGGAGCAAUACCGCGUGAGGGAAGAAUGCCUAUGGGUUGUAAACCUCUUUUUUCAGGGAGGAAUCAAAUGACGUGUACCUGAAGAAUAAGCAUCGGCUAACUCCGUG